rnacentral:rRNA from 1 species
GACGAACGCUGGCGGCGUGCUUAACACAUGCAAGUCGAACGGAAAGGCCGUGCGUUUGUGGGGUGCUCGGGUGGCGAACGGGUGAGUAACACGUGAGUAACCUACCCUUCAUUUUGGGAUAACUUCACGAAACUGGGGCUACGACCGUAUAGGAUCUGCUGCUGCAUGGUGGGCGGGGGAAAGUUGCGCCGGGUGCGGAUGGAUUAGCGGUUUACGAGCUUGUUGGUUGGGGAGUGGCUUACCAAGGCGUUGAAGGAUAGCCGACAUGGGAGGGUGGACGGGCACAUGGGGCCUGCGGGAGGCACCAGACGGCAACGGGAGACAACAGGGGGGAAUAUUGUCCAAUCGGACGAAGCGUGAUACAGAAGCGCCCCGUUCGGGAUGACGGCCUUUGGGUUGUAAACAGCUGUAGCUUGUGACGAAGCGUUAGUGACGGUAAUGGGUAAAGAAGCACCGGCUAACUACGUG